rnacentral:rRNA from 1 species
AGUAAACGCUGGCGGUAGGCCUAACACAUGCAAGUCGAACGGCAGCACAGUAAGAGCUUGCUCUUACGGGUGGCGAGUGGCGGACGGGUGAGGAAUACAUCGGAAUCUACUUUUUCGUGGGGGAUAACGUAGGGAAACUUACGCUAAUACCGCAUACGACCUACGGGUGAAAGCAGGGGAUCUUCGGACCUUGCGCGAUUGAAUGAGCCGAUGUCGGAUUAGCUAGUUGGCGGGGUAAAGGCCCACCAAGGCGACGAUCCGUAGCUGGUCUGAGAGGAUGAUCAGCCACACGGGAACUGAGACACGGUCCAGACUCCUACGGGAGGCAGCAGUGGGGAAUAUUGGACAAUGGGCGCAAGCCUGAUCCAGCCAUACCGCGUGGGUGAAGAAGGCCUUCGGGUUGUAAAGCCCUUUUGUUGGGAAAGAAAAGCAGCAGGUUAAUACCCCGCUGUUCUGACGGUACCCAAAGAAUAAGCACCGGCUAACUUCGUG